AGAGGGUGCAAGCGUUAAUCGGAGUUACUGGGCGUAAAGGGCGCGUAGGCUGAUAUUUAAGUCGAUUGUGAAAUCCCUGGGCUUAACCUAGGAAUUGCAUUCGAUACUGAAUGUCUUGAGUAUGGUAGAGGAAAGUGGAAUUCUCGGUGUAGUGGUAAAAUACGUAGAUAUCGAGAAGAACACCGGUGGCGAAGGCGACUUUCUGGGCCAAUACUGACGCUGAG
rnacentral:rRNA from 1 species